rnacentral:rRNA from 1 species
UACGGAGGGUGCAAGCGUUAUCCGGAAUCACUGGGUUUAAAGGGUGCGUAGGCGGCACAAUAAGUCAGGGGUGAAAGACUGCGGCUCAACCGUAGAAAUGCCUUUGAUACUGUUGUGCUUGAAUUAGGUUGAGGUUAGCGGAAUGUGACAUGUAGCGGUGAAAUGCAUAGAUAUGUCAUAGAACACCAAUUGCGAAGGCAGCUGGCUAGACCUGAAUUGACGCUGAGGCACGAAAGCGUGGGGAGCGAACAGG